rnacentral:lncRNA from 1 species
UGAAAAAACAUAAUAUUGUCCUUUUUUUAUUUUAUUUAUUUUUUUUUGUUUUAGAAGAAAAUGAUACACUUACCCAUAAAUAUCCGAUAAAAAGCUUAUUACAUAAAAUAACAAGUUUAGAAAAUGAAAAAAAAUACUUGCUAAAAUUUUUGGAAAAUAAAAACAAUACAGAAUUGGAAUAUAAAAAAGCUUUACAAACUCAAGCCGCAGUUGCUAAAUCUGAAAAUAAAAAAUCUGAAUUUUACGAAAACGAAUGGCUACACAUGAAAUCGAUUGAAUAUUCUUGCAUGAAUAAUAAAAAGGAACAAUUUAGAAAAACGUUAGAACUAUUUUAUAAAGACCCUAAAAUAUGUGAAGUAAUAAAAUAUAAAUAAUAAAUGAAAAAAAAUGAUAAAUGCAAAAAUAAUAAAUUAACGAAUUUGUAAUAUCUUUUUUUUUUU